AACGAACGCUGGCGGCAUGCCUAACACAUGCAAGUCGAACGAUGGCUUCGGCCAUAGUGGCGCACGGGUGAGUAACACGUGGGAACCUGCCCUUCGGUUCGGAAUAACGUUUGGAAACGAACGCUAACACCGGAUACGCCCUUUUGGGGAAAGUUUACGCCGAGAGAGGGGCCCGCGUCCGAUUAGGUAGUUGGUGGGGUAACGGCCUACCAAGCCGACGAUCGGUAGCUGGUCUGAGAGGAUGAUGAGCCAAACUGGGACUGAGACACGGCCCAGACUCCUACGGGAGGGAGCAGUGGGGAAUAUUGGACAAUGGGCGCAAGCCUGAUCCAGCAAUGCCGCGUGAGUGAUGAAGGCCUUAGGGUUGUAAAGCUCUUUCGCACGCGACGAUGAUGACGGUAGCGUGAGAAGAAGCCCCGGCUAACUUCGUGCCAGCCGCCGCUGUAAUAC
rnacentral:rRNA from 1 species